rnacentral:tRNA from 1 species
GAGGAUAUAGCUCAGGUGGUAGAGCACGUGCUUAGCAUGCAUGAAGUCCUGGGUUCAAUCUCCAGUAUCUCCC